AUGUCAGGGGGGCAUUUCCUUGUUAGCUCCUUGUAUUGCUCCCAUGCUUCAUAGAGAGUUUCACCAUCUUGUUGCCUAAAUGUUUGGACCUCAGCCCUCAACCU